AUUGAACGCUGGCGGCAGGCCUAACACAUGCAAGUCGAACGAGUGGCGGACGGGUGAGUAAUGUCUGGGAAACUGCCCGAUGGAGGGGGAUAACUACUGGAAACGGUAGCUAAUACCGCAUACCAUCGGAUGUGCCCAGAUGGGAUUAGCUAGUAGGUGGGGUAAUGGCUCACCUAGGCGACGAUCCCUAGCUGGUCUGAGAGGAGGACCAGACAAACUGGAACUGAGACACGGGCAAGACUCCUACGGGAGGCAGCAGUGGGGAAGAUUGCACAAUGGGAGAAAGCCUGAUGCAGCCAUGCCGCGUGUAGGAAGAAGGGCUUCGGGUUGUAAAGUACUUUCAGCGGGGAGGCGUUACCCGCAGAAGAAGCACCGGCUAACUCCGUGCCAGCAGCCGCGGUAAUUC
rnacentral:rRNA from 1 species